GUUGACUUUAAUUGAUUGAAGCUCUUCGUUUGGAUGCAGCCAUUCGAUUAAGUAACUUACAACCCCAAUUGCUCAAGGGGUUGUGGAAUUUGAACUGUUUUGAACGAAAUGCUGUGGAAUUUGAAUUGUUUUGAAGGAAACCAGGCCAAUUUCAAAACUGCAGGUACACACGCGGAUGCACCUAGCAAAAUUGAAGUGAAGUACUAACAUUUUACAGGGCAGAACCUUCAAAUGGUAUUUUCUUAACUUAUUGCAGAUUGCAUAACAUACCUCUUUCUAAUAUUUGAAACACUAUUUGAUAUUUGAAUUGAUACUUGAACUGAAUAAACAUCAGAUAGGACAAUCAAUUUAAAUAUCAGAUUUCAUUUUUGUAUUAUGUCUCAAUAUCAUAUUUUAAUCAUCGUUAUUGGUAUUAAAUGUGAUAAUGAAUCUUUAUAAUCAGUGCAAUGUAUUAUCUAAUAUCAUGUUGAUUUUGUCAUCUGAGUUUCUUAGAAAGCUCGCAGCUCAGUUACUUUUUUUACUAGGGUUUUGACUUUUUAUUUGUAUUUUUUAGGAAAUUGCAAAAACCUCACAUUGAGAUUUGGUUCUUUCAGCAGUAGGACCUCAGGAUUGAAGACUGAAUUAUUGCUGCUUUCUUGACAAUCAAGAGUACAUGAGGGAAACUUUUGGUGCUCCAGUGAACAAUUUCGAUCAUAUUUUCUCAAGGUAAAUGAAACAACAUUCCGUAAUAUUUUUUGCAGUAAAUAACCCAACAUUUCGUAAUCUUUUGUAUAUAAGUUCUACUAUUGAUCGAAAACCACAAUCAAGUGAAAGGUCUAGAUCUAAUUUUUUAUUUAUUUUUAUGUAGAUAGCCAAGAGUUCUACGAAUUUUUGUAUGUGGACUGUAUCAAUUAAAUCUUUUGUAUGAAAAAAAUCUUCCUAAUGAUUUCAAUGUAAAUAAUGUUAAUCUUCUAUGACUCAAUUUUUAAGAUUUUUCAAACAUAAUCUCUUACAAUUUUUAAUCCCGCAGCAUCGAGCUGGCAGCAAUAUGUAGUUGACACUAUAACCCAAUUUAUGCGGGACACGUCAUUUUAUUUUAAAUUCUUUUUAAGGUGUACUCUUUUUCUCCUAAAUAUCUUUGAAAAGAAUUUAUUAGGUGAAACAGCAUUUACUAAAUGAGAGAAGAGAAUAACGGGGUAAGUUGUUUGAGGUCAUAAAUAUUUUCAGCAUUAGGAUUGAGACAAAACAGAGAUGCGUUUUCUAUGUACGAUGCAAACAACCCCUUCAUACCCAAAUAAGAAGACAAAAUACAGUAAAGCUAACAUUUUAGCACAGGCAUACUAAAUCAGAGCACUUCAACUCUUUGCAGAAACUUGAACUCACCU